rnacentral:rRNA from 1 species
CCUACGGGCGGCAGCAGUGGGGAAUAUUGCACAAUGGGGGAAACCCUGAUGCAGCGACGCCGCGUGAGUGAAGAAGUAAUUCGUUAUGUAAAGCUCUAUCAGCAGGGAAGAAACUCACGGUACCUGAGCAAUAAACCCCGGCUAACUACGUGCCAGCAGCCGCGGUAGUACGUAGGGGGCAAGCGUUAUCCGGAUUUACUGGGUGUAAAGGGAGCGUAGACGGCAGUGCAAGUCUGGAGUGAAAGGCGGGGGCUCAACCCCCGGACUGCUCUGGAAACUGUAGGGCUGGAGUGCAGGAGAGGUAAGUGGAAUUCCUAGUGUAGCGGUGAAAUGCGUAGAUAUUAGGAGGAACACCAGUGGCGAAGGCGGCUUACUGGACUGUAACUGACGUUGAGGCUCGAAAGCGUGGGGAGCAAACAGGAUUAGAUACCCCAGUAGUC